rnacentral:lncRNA from 1 species
AUUAAACCAAUAGCCAAUGGUGCGAUCACUCCCACACUUCCCUUCUUAGGAUCAACGGCUGUGGCGUAGACUGUGUAGACCAAUCCGAAUGUCAUCACGAUCUCGAAAACAAAGGCAUUCCAGACCCCCACUCCGGAGGAUAAUCCAAAGGCUGGUAUAGACUGCGAUCACCAUAACGUAAAAAUAAAUAAAUAGAGGAACACUAUAUAUCAAAUUAACGGAAAUUACUGAUUUUCUAGCGGAAACUGGGGGGAAAUGGUAAAGUUACCAGGCCGUUGGUAGCGAACUUAAGCAACAGGCAAGCUACGGUUGAGCCAAGGAGUUGGGCGAUCCAGUAGAGGAUGCCACGUAAAAGAGUGAUGUUCCCGCCAACGAAAGCACCGAAGGUGACGGCUGGGUUGACGUGGCCUCCGGAGAUGUUGGCGCCAACAGAGACAGCGACGAAAAGGGCGAAGCCGUAAGCUAGGGAGGCGGCUACGAGACCGGCCGGGGUGCUUGCUCCGUUGUCGGUCAACUUGUUAUACGCCAUGCUCGAGCCUGAUCCAGCGAAGACGAAGAUUAAGGUUGAUAUGAACUCAGCCAAAGCUGCCUUAAGAGCAUCUGGGUGUGCAGCCUCCUCGGGCCGGCCAACGGCUAUGUUUCUGAACGGCAUGCUUACUGUCUGAUCAAGAAUCCACCGGUCGGAGUGAAGAGUGUUGUUUGAG